AGAGUUUGAUCCUGGCUCAGGACGAACGCUGGCGGCGUGCCUAACACAUGCAAGUCGAACGGAACUGUUUUGAAAGAUUUCUUCGGAAUGAAUUUGAUUUAGUUUAGUGGCGGACGGGUGAGUAACGCGUGAGUAACCUGCCUUCAAGAGGGGGAUAACAUUCUGAAAAGAAUGCUAAUACCGCAUGACAUAUCGGAAUCACAUGAUUUUGAUAUCAAAGAUUUUAUCGCUUGAAGAUGGACUCGCGUCCGAUUAGUUAGUUGGUGAGGUAACGGCUCACCAAGACCGCGAUCGGUAGCCGGACUGAGAGGUUGAACGGCCACAUUGGGACUGAGACACGGCCCAGACUCCUACGGGAGGCAGCAGUGGGGGAUAUUGCGCAAUGGGGGCAACCCUGACGCAGCAACGCCGCGUGAAGGAUGAAGGUUUUCGGAUUGUAAACUUCUUUUAUUAAGGACGAAAAUUGACGGUACUUAAUGAAUAAGCUCCGGCUAACUACGUGCCAGCAGCCGCGGUAAUACGUAGGGAGCAAGCGUUGUCCGGAUUUACUGGGUGUAAAGGGUGCGUAGGCGGCUUUGCAAGUCAGAUGUGAAAUCUAUGGGCUCAACCCAUAAACUGCAUUUGAAACUGUAGAGCUUGAGUGAAGUAGAGGCAGGCGGAAUUCCCCGUGUAGCGGUGAAAUGCGUAGAGAUGGGGAGGAACACCAGUGGCGAAGGCGGCCUGCUGGGCUUUAACUGACGCUGAGGCACGAAAGCGUGGGUAGCAAACAGGAUUAGAUACCCUGGUAGUCCACGCUGUAAACG
rnacentral:rRNA from 1 species